AUUCUGUGUGUGAGCCAUCAUUCAAAUGUGCAACAAUUAUAGAAAAUCCUUAAUAUUCUUUGUGUGUGGGUGGUGGAAAUUUUGAAUAUACAUGCAGCAGAGUCCGACUAUGCCCAAUUACAGUUAUGCAAUGCUAUUUCGGCUUUCUUCCUUGUUUCCAGAGUUUCCUACCUUUUUGAUUUUUUAAACAGGAUGUUAUUUACAAUGUCCAUUUUACCCUAGCCUGUUCACAUUUCCACUAGACCUGUAUCACCCUGCUAAUGAAAUUUGUCAUGGCCACGUGGUGGAGGACCACACUCGGAGGCCAAAGCAGCCUCCCACCUGGCGCGCUCCCAAUAACAGCCCAGGGACCUGUGCGGAGCAGUUUGAUGCCUGAGGUAGCGGUACGCCUUCAACCCACAUCUAAUACUUUAAUUCUGAGAGAAUGUGAGAAUAACAAGUUCACUCCCUCCUAUAGUAAGGCGUACGAUUAGAAGAUGAAAUCACAUGAGAAGAAUUUGGUUUGUAUAAAAUGUAUUAACUCAGCUGUUCUCCUUCUGGGUUAAUUGGGGAGGGGGUGAGGACACGGCAUAGAGAGAGAAAAGAGAGGGGGAAGAAGGAAAUCUAUGUUGUUUUUUCUCUAAAUAGGGCUCUUUUUUCAUCGGAUCUUACAGAGCUGCCCUGGGUUUCCCGAUGACUCAUUUCCAUGGUAUGCACCCACUCAGUGCACACGGGUCAACUCCCUUCAGAAAACACAGCACUAACAGCUACAUGAUACUCUCCGCGUUUACUUCAGUCCCUACACGAGCUGAUUUUGCACAUUAAUUAUUCCAACGUGGGGGAGAGAAAUAUUCGGGCCUCGCACAUCCCAUCAAAACAACAAGAAACCAGGCUUAGCUUCAGGAUCUGCUGGUGUACUGACAUCUGACCAAGUUCCCACUCCAGCUGCUGCCUGCGCUUCUCUGCCCGGUGCAGAGAAUUAGGCACUGCCUGCACACACCUUAAAGGGCUGCCAGACAAGUAACAGCUUUGAUGCAGAACCAAACAGCGAUGGGGAGAUGCUGGCAGCUCUCCAAGUCUAUGACUUCUUGGGGACACGAGCUGCAUACCUGUAAGUAGCAGAGUUCUGAGGACCUCCAUCAGGUACGUUUAAGUGAGAAUUCUUCGGUGUGGGAAGA